rnacentral:lncRNA from 1 species
UUUUUUUUAUUUCCCUGCAAGUGGCGCAUGGCGCCUUAGAACUUUUUAUGUUAGCUUUCCCUUGUCAUUAUCAGUGUUACUCGUCAACUUGUUUUUCCCAAGUUUUAAUAUAUAUCCGAUACCAUUUUCACUUGCUCCUUUGCCUAAAACUAACUUGCCGGGGAGGGGCUCUAUCAUUCUCGUGUUUUAGCCUUGCGUACCCGGGAACUCGCCAACCACGUGCUUGGCCAGACUAGGGACCCGGGACGGACCCGCGGUGCCGACCU